GAUGAAGAACGCAGCGAAAUGCGAUAAGUAGUGUGAAUUGCAGAAUUCAGUGAAUCAUCGAAUCUUUGAACGCACAUUGCGCCCCUUGGUAUUCCAUGGGGCAUGCCUGUUCGAGCGUCAUUUGUACCUUCAAGCUCUGCUUGGUGUUGGGUGUUUGUCUCGCCUCUGCGCGUAGACUCGCCUCAAAACAAUUGGCAGCCGGCGUAUUGAUUUCGGAGCGCAGUACAUCUCGCGCCUUGCACUCAUAACGACGACGUCCAAAAGUACAUUUUACACUCUUGACCUCGGAUCAGGUAGGGAUACCCGCUGAACUUAAGCAUAUCAAUAAGCGGAGGA
rnacentral:misc_RNA from 1 species